rnacentral:rRNA from 1 species
AACACGUGGAUAAUCUACCGACAGUCAGGGAUAACAUUUCGAAAGGAAUGCUAAUACCUGAUAAGCCUACGCCCUCUUCGGAGGAAGUAGGAAAAGGUGGGGACCUUCGGGCCUGCCGUUGUUGGAUGAGUCCGCGGCCCAUUAGCUAGUUGGUAGGGUAAUGGCCUACCAAGGCUACGAUGGGUAGCUGGUCUGAGAGGAUGAUCAGCCACACUGGAACUGAGACACGGUCCAG